CCUACGGGAGGCUGCAGUGGGGAAUAUUGGACAAUGGGUGAAAGCCUGAUCCAGCCAUGCCGCGUGUGUGAAGAAGGCCUUCGGGUUGUAAAGCACUUUCAGUGGGGAAGAAAGCCUUGGGGCUAAUACCCUCGAGGAAGGACAUCACCCACAGAAGAAGCACCGGCUAACUCCGUGCCAGCAGCCGCGGUAAUACGGAGGGUGCGAGCGUUAAUCGGAAUUACUGGGCGUAAAGCGCGCGUAGGCGGUCUGAUAAGCCGGUUGUGAAAGCCCCGGGCUCAACCUGGGAACGGCAUCCGGAACUGUCAGGCUAGAGUGCAGGAGAGGAAGGUAGAAUUCCCGGUGUAGCGGUGAAAUGCGUAGAGAUCGGGAGGAAUACCAGUGGCGAAGGCGGCCUUCUGGACUGACACUGAUGCUGAGGUGCGAAAGCGUGGGUAGCAAACAGGAUUAGAUACCCGAGUAGUC
rnacentral:rRNA from 1 species